UACAGAGGUCCCAAGCGUUGUUCGGAUUUACUGGGCGUAAAGCGCGUGUAGGCGGCUAAGUAAGUCGGGCGUGAAAUCCCACGGCUCAACCGUGGAAGUGCACUCGAAACUGCAUAGCUAGAGUCCUGGAGAGGAAGGUGGAAUGCUUGGUGUAGAGGUGAAAUUCGUAGAUAUCAAGCGGAACACCGGUGGCGAAGGCGGCCUUCUGGACAGUGACUGACGCUGAGACGCGAAAGCGUGGGGAGCAAACAGG
rnacentral:rRNA from 1 species